rnacentral:rRNA from 1 species
GACGAACGCUGGCGGCGUGCUUAACACAUGCAAGUCGAACGGAAAGGCCCUGCUUUUGUGGGGUGCUCGAGUGGCGAACGGGUGAGUAACACGUGAGUAACCUGCCCUUGACUUUGGGAUAACUUCAGGAAACUGGGGCUAAUACCGGAUAGGAGCUCCUGCUGCAUGGGGGGGGUUGGAAAGUUUCGGCGGUUGGGGAUGGACUCGCGGCUUAUCAGCUUGUUGGUGGGGUAGUGGCUUACCAAGGCUUUGACGGGUAGCCGGCCUGAGAGGGUGACCGGCCACAUGGGGACUGAGAUACGGACCAGAAUCCUACGGGAGGCAGCAGUGGGGAAUAUUGCACAAUGGGCGGAAGCCUGAUGCAGCAACGCCGCGUGCGGGAUGACGGCCUUCGGGUUGUAAACCGCUUUGGCCUGUGACGAAGCGUGAGUGACGGUAAUGGGUAAAGAAGCACCGGCUAACUACGUG